CUACGGGUGGCACCAGUGGGGAAUAUUGGACAAUGGGGGAAACCCUGAUCCAGCAGUGCCGCGUGUGUGAAGAAGGCCUGCGGGUUGUAAAGCACUUUCGGUUGGGAGGACUGCUUCUAGCACUAAUAUUGUUGGAAGUUGACGUUACCUUCAGAAGAAGCACCGGCUAACUCCGUGCCAGCAGCCGCGGUAAUACGGAGGGUGCAUGCGUUAAUCGGAAUUACUGGGCGUAAAGCGCGCGUAGGCGGCUAGAUCAGUCGGGUGUGAAAGCCCCGGGCUUAACCUGGGAACUGCAUCCGAUACUGUCUAGCUUGAGUACAGGAGAGGAGAGUGGAAUUCCACAUGUAGCGGUGAAAUGCGUAGAUAUGUGGAGGAACACCAAUGGCGAAGGCAGCUCUCUGGCCUGAUACUGACGCUGAGGUGCGAAAGCGUGGGGAGCAAACAGGAUUAGAUACCCGAGUAGUC
rnacentral:rRNA from 1 species